UUUAAGCAUACAAAGGGGCAUAGGGACAGAGAAAGCGAGUUUGUUUUAUACUAUGUAGUGAUUAAUGUUUUUAUUUAUUUUUUUCAGGAUAUAAAAGGUGGUGAAACAGCACUACAUUUGCCUGUAAAUUCAGCGAAUUGUGACCUUCGUCUCAUAAUGGUGAUAUUUAAGAACAUCGAUCGAAAACUGUGGAAGAAACUUGCACAUGUGCAAAAUAGAAGCUCGGUAACUCCACUAGAAUACGCCAGGUCUGCGAGCAAAUCGUCAACGAGACAAAACUUUCCCAUCGAAGUGUUGGAAUUCCUCAAGAAAUGCCGUUAAAUGUGUUAAAGACAUAAAUGUUUGAACAUGGAAUGGAACGUUUAAUUCGAAAUUUGAAUUUCGAACGGUUUGAUAAAGAACGCACAAUUUUUGUGGAAUUCGAAAGAUGAAAUUUGGAAUAGAUUCGAGUCUUUUUGAAUGUAUAGAAUUUGGAAUUCGAAUGGAAUUUUGAAUUUGGAACGUAAAAUAUGAAUGCAUUCUAUUUUGAAAUUGGAUUGUUAGUUUUUAUUUUGAUGAAUAUGAAUGACAUUGUAUUUUUUUAAUAUUUUAUUUGUUUAUCAAAAAACAAAUUGAAUAAAGAGAUUAAUAGAAA